GAAAUGCUGAAUACAACAGGUGUAGUAGACCUUACUGUGAAAUGCUGAAUACAACAGGUGUAGUAGACCUUACAGUGAAAUGCUGAAUACAACAGGUGUAGUAGACCUCACAGUGAAAUGCUGAAUACAACAGGUGUAGUAUACCUUACAGUGAAAUGCUGAAUACAACAGGUGUAGUAGACCUUACAGUGAAAUGCUGAAUACAACAGGUGUAGUAGACCUUACAGUGAAAUGCUGAAUACAACAGGUGUAGUAGACCUUACUGUGAAAUGCUGAAUACAACAGGUGUAGUAGACCUUACUGUGAAAUGCUGAAUACAACAGGUGUAGUAGACCUUACUGUGAAAUGCUGAAUACAACAGGUGUAGUAGACCUCACAGUGAAAUGCUG
ensembl:lncRNA